AACGACGUAUAGGGUCUGACGCCUGCCCGGUGCUGGAAGGUUAAAGAGAGGGGUCAGCCGCAAGGCAAAGCUCCGAACUGAAGCCCCAGUAAACGGCGGCCGUAACUAU
rnacentral:rRNA from 1 species